rnacentral:rRNA from 2 species
UAGGGAAUCUUCGGCAAUGGACGAAAGUCUGACCGAGCAACGCCGCGUGAGUGAAGAAGGUUUUCGGAUCGUAAAACUCUGUUGUUAGAGAAGAACAAGGACGUUAGUAACUGAACGUCCCCUGACGGUAUCUAACCAGAAAGCCACGGCUAACUACGUGCCAGCAGCCGCGGUAAUACGUAGGUGGCAAGCGUUGUCCGGAUUUAUUGGGCGUAAAGCGAGCGCAGGCGGUUUCUUAAGUCUGAUGUGAAAGCCCCCGGCUUAACCGGGGAGGGUCAUUGGAAACUGGGAGACUUGAGUGCAGAAGAGGAGAGUGGAAUUCCAUGUGUAGCGGUGAAAUGCGUAGAUAUAUGGAGGAACACCAGUGGCGAAGGCGGCUCUCUGGUCUGUAACUGACGCUGAGGCUCGAAAGCGUGGGGAGCAAACAGG